rnacentral:lncRNA from 1 species
UUUAUAAAGAAAACCCUAACUAUUUCUUCCCAUACCAUUAACCAGACCUAACCACCAAUCUUUCUACAAAUUUCUUCCCCAAAAAUCAAGCUGCAUUCAAUUCGGUUGAGAUGGGUUUUGGAGAUAAAGCCUGACAACAGUUGACUGAUCUUGACCGUGCUUCCUGGGUCUGCCUCUGUUUUUCUUUUCUGUCACCGGUGUGACUCCGGCCGCCGUGUACGGUGGAGAUGAUGCAGCAGCAAGUUGGCUUGUGAUGGAUUGUGGGAUUGAUCUUGUGGUGCUGGGCUCAAUUCUUGGAGCAAUUUGGUAGUCUGAUGGUGCAUCUGAUUUCACCACUAAAACUAUGAAGAUGAGAGAGUGCACAGUAUGAAGAAGAUGAAUAGAUGAUGUGUUCUUGAAGAUGAUGAUGUGUUCUUGAAGAUUGGGUUAGAAGAUGAUGUUCUUGAAGAUCUGAGUUAGAUUUAAAGGGGAUGAGAAAUUACAAAAAUACCCAUCAUGUGCCCAGCAUGUGAGAAAUAAUUAACCAGGGUAAGGGAUGGAGUUAGACUCAGGGGCCAAAAUAGUUAGUUAUAGAGACCAUGGGGGCACAUAUGUUAAAAAAAAUCCUAUUUUGGGCUAAUAUAGUAAAAGUGAUAUAACCACAGGGGCCAAAAACGUAAUUUACUCAAAAAAAUAUAUUCGACGUGAACAUUAAGAGGGAAAAAACAUCAGACGGCAGAAUUGGGAGAGACGGUACGAAUUUGGGAGCACAUCAGAGACAAAUUUUUGGCGUUUAGUAGAAAGAGAAGGAUCGGGUUUUGGAUUGAAGAUUGAACUUAAAGUUGUUUGCUUUACGGUUAGAAUACGUUUUAUUGUUUUUGGUUUGUUAAAACUCAAUACUUUAACAUGUUUUCUACUGUGAAUGACUUUGAAUUUAUUUGUGUUUAAUUCUUGACCAUGCUUG